rnacentral:rRNA from 1 species
CCUACGGGUGGCAGCAGUCGAGAAUCAUUCACAAUGGGGGAAACCCUGAUGGUGCGACGCCGCGUGGGGGAAUGAAGGUCUUCGGAUUGUAAAUCCCUGUCAUGUGGGAGCAAAUUAAAAAGAUAGUACCCCAAGAGGAAGAGACGGCUAACUCUGUGCCAGCAGCCGCGGUAAUACAGAGGUCUCAAGCGUUGUUCGGAAUCACUGGGCGUAAAGCGUGCGUAGGCUGUUUCGUAAGUCGUGUGUGAAAGGCGCGGGCUCAACCCGCGGACGGCACAUGAUACUGCGAGACUAGAGUAAUGGAGGGGGAACCGGAAUUCGCGGUGUAGCAGUGAAAUGCGUAGAUAUCGAGAGGAACACUCGUGGCGAAGGCGGGUUCCUGGACAUUAACUGACGCUGAGGCACGAAGGCCAGGGGAGCGAAAGGGAUUAGAUACCCGGGUAGUC